ensembl:lncRNA
AUGCUAAGAGGCUGUGCUAAGGGGCCGUCCUUCCCCGCCAUUUCCCGGCUGCCGCCGCUCGCGGCCACUCGCCGCCGUUCCUCGCCGUUCCUCGCCGUUCCUCGCCGGUCCUCGCCGGUCCUCCGCCGCUCCCCGCCAUUCCCCAUUGCUUGCCGCUGUCCCCCGCCGUCCCCUGCCGCUCUCUGUCGCUCCCCGCCGUCCCCCGCCAUCCCCUGCCGUCCUCCGCCGUUCCCCGCCGCUCGUCGCUGUCCCCCGUUGUCCCCGCCAUCCCCCGCCGUUCCCCUCUGUCCCCCGUCGUCCCCCGCUGCUCGCCGCCGUCCCCCGUCGUCCCCCGCUGCUCGCCGCUGUCGUUCCCCGCCGUCCUCCAUCGUUCCCCGCCGUUUUGGCUGCGGUGAGUGCUUGAGCUUGGCCCUUGCAGUGCAGGGUGAUGGAGAAAGCAUGUGUGUCAGAUGCGACCAGCUAAAUGAUUUACUUAGCCUGGUGGCUGAUCUGAAGGAAGAAGAAGAGAGGCUGAGGAGUAUUAGGGAGUGUGAGCAGGAGAUUGAUCGCUGGUGCCAGUCCCUGCCAUCCCUGAGAUCGAGGCAGCCAGCUGCAGCCCUGCAUGAAGCAUGUCACNNNNNNNNNNNNNNNNNNNNNNNNNNNNNNNNNNNNNNNNNNNNNNNNNNNNNNNNNNNNNNNNNNNNNCUGCUGUCCCCCGCUGUCCCCCGCUGCUCGCCGCUCCCCGCCGUCCCCUGCCGCUCGCCGCCGUCCCCCGCCGUUCCCCUCUGUCCCCCGUCGUCCCCUGCUGCUCGCCGCCGUCCCCCGUCGUCUCCCGUCGUCCCCCGUCGUUCCCUGCCGUCCUCCAUCGUUCCCCGCCGUUCACCGCCGUCCCCAGCCGUCCCCCGCCGCCGCCUUCCCUUGCCGUCCCCCGCCGUCCCCCAUCAUCCCCCGCCGCCGUCGUUCCCCCAUCAGGUUGCAGUUGGGCUUCAUCAUGUUCAAGGUCUUUUCCAGCCUGACCUAUUCUCUCGCCCUAUGGCCCCUUCUCCAUCGUGACAGCAUACGCAACCUUCUCCUCCUCUCACAAGUUUGCCACCCACAACGGUUUUCCUUCUGUCCUUCUUCAGCGAGGCCAUCCCCAGCUCUGCAGGUGGCCUCCUUAGGCUACACAACUUCUUGCGUGGAACUAAUUUACACUCUGCCUUACUUUAGAACUUCCUGCACCCCCAGUCUCCUGCUCACACAGCCUCAUACUCCUUGAUCUCUCUGCCUCCUUCUUGAGCUCAGUCAGCAUGCUGAGAUCACCCACUUGCCCACACCUCUCGCAGGCGGCAUCUUUCCCAUUCUGUGGGGGCGGCAGCCGCCUUACACGCUCCCUGCAGCCAGGCACCUGAACAGCUGCACUGCUGGGCUGGCGCUUGCUCUGCGUAGCCACCCUCCUUUCGCCAACAGCUUCCUGCCUCCUGGACACCAUGGCUAGCUUUGCUGUCCGGGAGGCAGCUGACACCUCAGCCGCGCUCCCUGCUCAGGACCGGCGCUUCGUCCUCUCCGCUUGCCCUGCCCGCGCCAACUGAGGAGCAAGGCGAUGAGCGAACAGGCGGCCGCGCCCCAUAGGGGCUGCUUGUGGAACUGCGGGCUGUGACGCUGCUGCUGCUUGUGCCACCCGGGACACGUCCGAGCCGCUGCUGUUGCCGAACAGAAGGGGGAUGGCGCGCGGCAACGCCCUGAUGACGCCGAGUUCCUCUUGCCCUGCUGACGUCAUCGCUUCAGCCCUGAUGAAAGACAAAAGGGUCUUGCUGCUGCUUGCUCCUAGUUCUUAUGGUCUGCGGUUCUUGCGUUUUCCUUGGAGCUUUCUACAGAAUGUCAUCUCAGUGGAGCAGUGUCCUCCUUCUUCUAUUGACAUAUAUACAUGUAUAUACGUAUAUAGCCUUGAUCUUUCCAUUGCCCCCAAGGAACUAUGCACAGAGAAAUUCAGGAAGGAAUUCUGCCUCUAAAAACAAACAAACAAACAAACAAACAAGCAAACAGAGUCUUCCUAUGUUGCCCAGAGGAAGGU